UCAAAAACAGUUCUUUGGAAUACUAACUUUGGAAGUUAGAGGAUGACGGAAGUCAUUUUUGAA
rnacentral:tRNA from 1 species